rnacentral:rRNA from 1 species
AGCAGCCGCGGUAAUUCCAGCUCCAAUAGCGUAUAUUAAAGUUGUUGCAGUUAAAAAGCUCGUAGUUGAAUUUCGGGAUCAAUACGUCGGUCGUGCUUCGGUACGUACUGGCGUCAUUGAUUUCUCCCUUCUGACGAACCAUGAUGUCAUUAACUUGGUGUCUUGGGAAAUCAGGACUGUUACUUUGAAAAAAUUAGAGUGUUUAAAGCAGGCUCACGCUUGAAUACAUUAGCAUGGAAUAAUGAAAUAGGACGUUCGAUCCUAUUUUGUUGGUUCCUAUUUUGUUGGUUUUAGGAUCAACGUAAUGAUUAAUAGGGAUAGUUGGGGGCAUUAGUAUUCAAUUGUCAGAGGUGAAAUUCUUGGAUUUAUUGAAGACUAACUACUGCGAAAGCAUUUGCCAAGGAUGUUUUCAUUAAUCAAGAACGAAAGUUAGGGGAUCGAAGACGAUCAGAUACCGUCGUAGUCUUAACCAUAAACUAUGCCGACUAGGGAUCGGAUGAUGUUAAUUUUUUAAUGACUCAUUCGGCGCCUUACG